GGGUUGUGAGGUUAAGCGACCAAGCGUACACGGUGGAUGCCCUGGCAGUCAGAGGCGAUGAAGGACGUGCUAAUCUGCGAAAAGCGCCGGUAAGGUGAUAUGAACCGUUAUAACCGGCGAUGUCCGAAUGGGGAAACCCAGUGUGAUUCGUCACACUAUCAUUAACUGAAUCCAUAGGUUAAUGAGGCGAACCGGGGGAACUGAAACAUCUAAGUACCCCGAGGAAAAGAAAUCAACCGAGAUUCCCCCAGUAGCGGCGAGCGAACGGGGAGGAGCCCAGAGCCUGAAUCAGCAUGUGUGUUAGUGGAAGCGUCUGGAAAGGCGCGCGAUACAGGGUGAGAGCCCCGUACACAAAAGCGCACGUGCUGUGAGCUCGAUGAGUAGGGCGGGACACGUGGUAUCCUGUCUGAAUAUGGGGGGACCAUCCUCCAAGGCUAAAUACUCCUGACUGACCGAUAGUGAACCAGUACCGUGAGGGAAAGGCGAAAAGAACCCCGGCGAGGGGAGUGAAACAGAACCUGAAACCGUGUACGUACAAGCAGUGGGAGCCCCACCACUAAGCCAGUGGUGAACUCCACA
rnacentral:rRNA from 1 species